rnacentral:rRNA from 1 species
CCAGCCAUGCCGCGUGAGUGAUGAAGGCCUUAGGGUCGUAGAGCUCUUUCGCCUGUGAAGAUAAUGACUGUAGCAGGUAAAGAAACCCCGGCUAACUCCGUGCCAGCACCCGCGGUAAUACGGAGGGCGUUAGCGUUGUUCGGGAAUUACUGGGGCGUAAAGCGCGUCGUAGGCGGGACUGGAAAGUUGGGGGUGAAAUCCCACGGGCUCAACCCUGGAACUGCCUCCAAAACUAUCAGUCUAGAGUUCGAGAGAGGUGAGUGGAAUUCCGAGUGUAGAGGUGAAAUUCGUAGAUAUUCGGAGGAACCCAGUGGCGAAGGCGGCUCACUGACUCGAUACUGACGCUGAGGUGCGAAAGUGUGGGGAGCAAACAGGAAUAGAUACCCUGG